rnacentral:rRNA from 1 species
GACAGAGGUCCCAAGCGUUAGGCGGAAUCACUGGGCUUAAAGCGUGUGUAGGCGGAUUUGUAAGUACCUUGUGAAAUCCCACGGCUCAACCGUGGAACUGCUUGGUAUACUGCUUAUCUUGGGCCAUCUAGGGGCGAGCGGAACAAACGGUGGAGCGGUGAAAUGCGUAGAUAUCGUUUGGAACGCCAAUGGUGAAAACAGCUCGCUGGGGAUGUGCCGACGCUGAGGAGCGAAAGCGUGGGGAGCGAACAGG